CUUCUUCCUUUCAUUUAUUUGGGCUCUUUAUUGUCUCCGUCCUUUUUGCUUCCACUCAGGUGGUAACUUUAAUCUAUGUCAAUGUUCAAGAACUCAAAGGAAAUAUGCAGCUUUUAUGUGUCCCAAGUCAGGUCCAAAUUAAGAGGAAACAGAUGAAACAGGUCCAUUUUCAGAAAGUAAAAUUUCAAAAACACUUUGAAGGGUGAGCCACUCCUCCUUACCCUUGGGAGAGAAAGGAAACCAGAUGUCCCCACCCCUAUGCUCCAGGCCCAGAGUCAUUAAAAUGUGCUACACUCUGAGUAUGGAAAUAAAUGCCUCUGCUGAUAACAGAAGUGACAACUGACACACUGGGAAUUCAGCUGUUUCAAACAGUGGCAGAGCUAUCAGCCAGGGAGUAAUGUGGAUAAUUUUCACAGUGUCUAUCUCUGUUGAAAUAUUUCAAUAUAUUCAGCUUUAAAUUCAGGAAGCAUAACAUGACAGCCCAAUAUUUUAAUUUAGAGAUUCAGAGAAAUGAAACAGGAAAGAUAUAUGCUAUCAUUGCCUAAAUUUAUGUUGAACUUUAUCAUACGAAAUCAAGGGAUUUCCAUUUCAAAGCAUGUAAGAAUAUUAUCCAACAGAAUGAAUUCUAUCUAAGUUGUAUUUCACAUACUG